rnacentral:rRNA from 1 species
AGCGAACGCUGGCGGCAGGCCUAACACAUGCAAGUCGAACGGACCCUUCGGGGUUAGUGGCGGACGGGUGAGUAACACGUGGGAACGUGCCUUUAGGUUCGGAAUAGCUCCUGGAAACGGGUGGUAAUGCCGAAUGUGCCCUUCGGGGGAAAGAUUUAUCGCCUUUAGAGCGGCCCGCGUCUGAUUAGCUAGUUGGUGAGGUAAUGGCUCACCAAGGCGACGAUCAGUAGCUGGUCUGAGAGGAUGACCAGCCACACUGGGACUGAGACACGGCCCAGAAUCGUACGGGAGGCAGAAGUGGGAAUCUUGCGCAAUGGGCGAAAGCCUGACGCAGCCAUGCCGCGUGAAUGAUGAAGGUCUUAGGAUUGUAAAAUUCUUUCACCGGGGACGAUAAUGACGGUACCCGGAGAAGAAGCCCCGGCUAACUUCGUGCCAGCAGCCGCCGCGG